rnacentral:rRNA from 1 species
CUACGGGGUGCUGCAGUGAGGAAUAUUGCACAAUGGGGGGAACCCUGAUGCAGCAACGCCGCGUGGAGGAUGACGCAUUUCGGUGUGUAAACUCCUUUUAUAUGUCAAGAAAAUGACGGUAGCAUAUGAAUAAGCACCGGCUAACUCCGUGCCAGCAGCCGCGGUAAUACGGAGGGUGCAAGCGUUACUCGGAAUCACUGGGCGUAAAGGACGCGUAGGCGGGUUGGAAAGUCAGGUGUGAAAUCCUACAGCUUAACUGUAGAACUGCACUUGAAACUUCUAAUCUAGAGUAUGGGAGGGGCAGAUGGAAUUAGUGGUGUAGGGGUAAAAUCCGUAGAUAUCACUAGGAAUACCUAAAGCGAAGGCGAUCUGCUGGAACAUAACUGACGCUAAGGCGUGAAAGCGUGGGGAGCAAACAGGAUUAGAUACCCGAGUAGUC